UACAGAGGGUGCAAGCGUUGUUCGGAAUCACUGGGCGUAAAGCGCACGUAGGCGGCAUCUUAAGUCGGGGGUGAAAUCCUGGAGCUCAACUCCAGAACUGCCUUCGAUACUGGGAUGGCUCGAGUCCGGGAGAGGUGAGUGGAACUGCGAGUGUAGAGGUGAAAUUCGUAGAUAUUCGCAAGAACACCAGUGGCGAAGGCGGACUCACUGGCCCGGUACUGACGCUGAGGUGCGAAAGCGUGGGGAGCAACAGGG
rnacentral:rRNA from 1 species